CACCAUCCUACACAUACUAGGGGAUAAUUUACAAUUAUACCAAGCCAAUUAACUUACAACCCUGGACGUCUUUCAAAUGUGGGAAGAAACUGGAGAUCCCGGAAAAAAUCAUGGGGAGAACGUACAAACUCCGUACUGACAAGCACCCGUAGUCAGGAUCGAUCCCGGGUCUCAGGCGCGAUAAGGCAGCAACUCUACCGCUGCGCCACUGUGCCACUCUUGUGACAUUAGAUCUUAGAUCUUAUGACAUUUUCUAUAUGUUUGAGGAAUAUUGUUAACCUACCUUUUUGUGCUUAUAUCAUACAUGCUUUGCAAUUGCACAGAACUUUUUUUACUUGGACUGUGGGAGCGAUUAAGAAUAUUGCUGCACUUGGCAACUUUGUGCAGAUUUGGCUUUUUUUCUUCCCCCGGUUUUGAAAUGCAGCUGACGUAGGCCAAGAGAAAAAAUAUAUAUUUCAGCUUUCAAAAGUACCAAAAAUCCUUAAGGGAAAGCUUGGAAGGGAGGAGGGCGUAGGAGCAGCUAAAAGAGAGAACAGUGCCAGUAACCAGAAACAACUGAGUCAUUCAGCAAAUCAGAGAUAUUUAAAUUCACUUUACCACGAACAAGGCCCUCACAUCCCUAUGGUAGGCAAAACUCCACACAGAGCCUUGUGAAGGAUUUUUUUUUUCGCAAUCCACAGCCUAUCUAUUAUAAUUGUUUCCAGAUUUGUGUGGGAGGUCAGGGCCCUGGAGUGCUGCUCCAUGCCAAGUUUAUAAACACAGCAGUAUUUCCAGAUGGCCACUGGCUCCAGACUGGCUAGCAGGUUGAUUGGGACCAGAAUAACAACAGGUGGAGAACAGACAAUGAAUUCCUUGACACUCUUUCCUCAUCCCCCACCACCCUACCACCUCAACGGUUCGCAUUCUAAAAUAAGAAGACACUUAGCGUGCAGGGGUGAUGUGUGCGUUUUAGAAAUGUCUUACCGUAGUCGCUGUACAAAGCAGAGACUAAUAUUCAUCUCAGGAAAGUUGGCAGAGAAGUGAAAAUACCAGCUUAGAGGAGGUGAGAAAUGCAAAUGUUGAACAAGCCCAAGAAGUGCAGUGGUUUGGAUAAUGUAGACUUUUACAUGUUUGUGGGAGGAAAAUGGAGCACCCAGAGAAAACCUAUGAAUUCACAGGGAGAAUGGACAAAAUAUGUACAGACAGCACCCCUAGUCAGGAUCGAACCUGGGUCUCUGGUACUGUAACAAGUAACAACUCUACCGCUGCACCACUGCGCCACUUUGUAAAGAUCAGUUUUUCCACAGUCUAAUAUCAGUCUAUGCCAUGAAAGAUUCCUAAAUUUCAUCAGGAACUGUGUCUGAUGUCACAGGUAUGAGAGGGUGGAGCAGGAGACAGAGCACACAGAAUUGAGGUCCUGUGCUGACAAUCAGUGAGGAGGUGGUGAUAUUACCAAUUUGUACUGAUUGGGAUCUGCCAAUGUGGAAGUCGAGGAUCUAGUUGCAAAACAGCGAGCAGAAACCCAGUUCCCCAAGUUUGAUGAUAAGUUUAGAAUGGAUGACGGUGUUGAAUGCCCAGCUCUUGUUGAUGAACAACAGCCCAAUGUACAUGUAUGUAUUGUGCAAGUGGUUGUACAAUGUGAAGAGCCAGCAAGUUCGCAUUCGCCGUUAAUCUGUUCUGACAGUGGAUGAAUUACAGUGGAUCCAGGACCUUACUAUGGCAGGAGUUAAUAUGUGUCAUAACCAACCCCUCAAAGCACUUCAUCAGAAUGGAUUUGAGUAACAUUGGAGUACCAACGGAUGUGAGUUGGUAGUCGUUGUGGCGUGCCACCCAUUUAUACCUCACACUGCCUUGGCAAGACCACCAGCAUAAUCAAGGACAAGUUGCACCCUGGCCACUCCCUCUUCUCCUCUCUCCCAUCAGGCAAGAGGCAUAGAAGUGUGAAAGUGCAUAGCUCCAGAUUCAGGGAUAGUUUCUUCCCAACUGUUCUUCCCAAUCAGAGCAUUGAGUAUAGAAGCUGGGAUGUAAUGUUAAAAUUGUACAAGGCAUUGGUGAGACCAAAUCUGGAGUAUGGUGUACAAUUUUGGUCGCCCAAUUAUAGGAAGGAUGUCAACAAAAUAGAGAGAGUACAGAGGAGAUUUACUAGAAUGUUGCCUGGGUUUCAACAACUAAGUUACAGAGAUAGGUUGAAUAAGUUAGGUCUUUAUUCUCUGGAGCGCAGAAGGUUAAGGGGGGACCUGAUAGAGGUCUUUAAAAUGAUGAGAGGGAUAGGCAGAGUUGAUGUGGACAAGCUUUUCCCUUUGAGAAUAGGGAAGAUUCAAACAAGAGGACAUGACUUCAGAAUUAAGGGACAGAAGUUUAGGGGUAAUAUGAGGGGGAACUUCUUUACGCAGUGAGUGGUGGCGGUGUGGAAUGAGCUCCCAGUGGAAGUGGAGGCAGGUUCAUUGGUAUCAUUUAAAAAUAAAUUGGAUAGGCAUAUGGAUGAGAAGGGAAUGGAGGGUUAUAGUAUGAGUGCAGGCAGGUGGGACUAAGGGGAAAAAAAAAUUGUUCGGCAUGGACUUGUAGGGCCGAGAUGGCCUGUUUCCGUGCUGUAAUUGUUAUAUGGUUAUAUGGUUAUAUGGUUAUAUGUUAUCAGGCAAUGGAACCAUCCUACUACAACUAGAGAGCAGCUAGACAGCAGUCCUAAAUGUUAUUCGCAUUCUUCCCUUUAUCAUGUAUCUGUGUGGAUGGCUCGAUUGUAAUCAUGUAUUGUCCUUUCGCUGACUGGUUAGCAUGCAACAAAAGCUUUUCAAUGUAUACAUGUGACAAUAAAAUAAAUAAGUGGGAAAUUUGGAAUAAUACAAGUCAAGUCUUCCAAUUUUCACUUGCGGUCCGCAAAUUCAUUUUUUCACUGAGCAAGAUUCCAUGGCCUUGCAAAAAUAAAAUAAUUAGGGAAAAGAAAUGCAGGGAGCUAAUGUUAGAACAAAGCAAGUCCUCAACCAGAUAGCAUAUUUAAAAAGCCAGAGCCUCUUAGUCCUUAUUGAUAAGCAGCACAUGUGUCAUUGUUUCUCUCCUGGUUUCCAUGUGACCUUUUCCUCCAGCCCUCCCCACUUUCUCUGCUGUUUAAAACAUUUUAAUUUCUCACUUUUCUCAGUUCUGUAAAAAGGUCAUCAAAUUGGCAUAUUUUUACUCUUUUCCUCUCCCCACAGAUUCAGUUUGACCAGUUGAGUAUUUCCCACAUUUUCGGCUUUUAUCCCACACCUCAACAGGUCAGGCCGCAUCGGGGGAGGGAAUGGAGAGGUGAACCCUUCUUGUGACUGGGUCUUAACCUGAAAUAUCGUCUAUCCAUUCCCUCCACUGAUUGGAGUUCUUACAUUGACCUCUGGGGUGAUGAAAACCCUGCCACGCUGUAGAGUUAUUCAGAUUAUGUUUCUGUUCAUCAAUCGGCUGAUCCUUAAUAAUCAUGGUAUUUGUUUUUUGAUUCUGACACUGACCUACAGUGGGCACAGGGUGAACUGCAUUUUCCUUUCUUUUGUAUCACACGAAACAUCAAUUCCCCAAAUGUGUGAUUUUUCUCCUAUUCCAAUAGGAUUACAAAGCAACAAAUUGGCUUGUUUUUCUUCGUUCCUUUACUCAACUGAAAGCAAUGAUUCACAUUCUGAUGUAGAAGCAAGAAACUGCUGAUGCUGGUUCAUGAAAAAAGACACAAAGAGUUGGUGCAAACCAGCGGGUCAGGCAGCAUCUCUGGAGAACAUAAAUAGGUGAUGUUUCGGGUUGGGACCCUUCUUCGGACUGAUACAAGUCCAAGGGCAAUAACAGUGCAUAAGUGAGUGCAUAAUGUGAAGUUGAGAAAGGACAGUCUUGCUAAUGAGGGAGUGUAGUGUAGGUUCACCAGGUUAAUUCCCAGGAUGGUGGGACUGACAUAUGAUGAAAUUUAGGAUAAGAGGGUAUCAUAGAAACAUGUAAAAAUCUUAAGGGAUUGGAUAGGCUAGAUGCAGGAAAAAUGUCCCCCAUGUUGGGGGAGUCCAGAACCAGGGGUUACAGUUUAAGAAUAAAGGUAGGCCAUUUAGGACUAAAAUGAGAAAAUGAGGAAACAUUUUUUCAGCCAGAGAGUUAGGAAUCUGUGGAAUUCUCUGCCACAGAAGGCAGUGGAGGCCAAUUCACUGGAUGUAUUCAAGAGACAGUUAGGUAUAGCUCUUAGGGCUAAUGGGAUCAAGGGAUGUGGGGAGAAAUCAGGAACAAUGUACUGAUUCUGGAUGAUCAGCCAUGAUAUUGAAUAGCGAUGCUGGCUCAAAGAGCCAAAUGGCCUACUACUGCACCUAUUUUCCAUGUUUCUAAGUUCAGACUAAGGGAACAUCACAAGUGGUCCGAUACCACACCUUCCGUCCUCUGCUCCACAUUUGUGUCACAGGUUAUCACUCUGCCUUGAGAAUUUGUAAUUUAGUGUCCACAUUGCUAUUUUACCUGAGACAUUCAGUCAGUACAGUAUAAAACCCAAACCUGGGACCCUAUGAUCCACACAACUAAAGCCGACAUCACACUCGGCAUCCAACUAUUGGUAACUCCACACAUUGUGCCCUUGUAUGAAUAACAUGUUCUCCUAGCAAUGAUAAUUUCAUUUUCCUAUCAUAUGACAACCACACAAAGCACCUGCUGGUAGCAGCUCAUCAGUUAAUCAAUGCAAGAUGCGAGCAGCCAUCAAAAUCAACAUAAUAAGAAAGAGCAAUUGAGCUAAUAGUUUUACUGGCAAAGCGUCACUUUUUAUUUUUGAAAAAAGUGCUUUUUGACAGUUCUUUUUCCUAUGGUCUUAUACUACGGCCAAAAUCGCAAGCAGAAACAGCUCUAAAGAAACAUAAACCUACUCCCUGUGCCUUAAACACAGACAAGAAAUAAUGUAUAUGUAACAUUCUGAGAGAACAAUGUUUUCUUUGAAGUCAGUGGGAAAACAGAGCCCACUUACUUACAAUGUGCUAGUGGCAUAAUGAUGUCAUAAACUCUCCAGCCACUUUCCAAGCAACUGAAAUCUCUGCUGAAGAUAUCAUUGCAGCCUUGUUAGAUUAACACAAUACAGACACUGUAAUGAAAUGAUUUACUCAGUGACUCUAGACUCUUAACAAUAUUUUUAACAAUGUUCGUAAUGUUUCAAUACAUGUAAGGAUGUUGUGUUUCAGAACUGUGAAAGAAAGGGUGAGUGCACCCACUCGAUCAGUUAUGUUUAUACAAGGAAAUAGACAGGAAUGGGGGAGGGUGUGUUUUCAAGGGCUGCUGUCUUAUUCUGAUGGCCCUGGCCAAGGCUGGCCUCUGUUUUUCAGUAAGUUUACUCCACUCCAGAUGUGCCUUGGCUCCAGCGUGGCUGCCAUGUACGGCAAAUCGACAUCUUAGCGCUCGUCAAUCUGUGGGGUAGAACAGCCACUGUGUCGUCAAGCUGACCCACUAAGUGAUCCAGGAAUUUACACGGCAGACCACAGAGCAGAGGGGCUGCAAUUCCUGCAACCUACAACAGUGCAAGUGAAAUGGCAAAGGUGCCGGGUAUAAAAUUAUGGUUUUUGGGGAACAUUAUUUACACUGCAGAGCUCAGAGCAGAGGAGCUGUGAUACCUGCAACCUACAACAGUGGAGGUAGGAGAUUCAGUGUGUAGGAAGGAACUGCAGAUGCUGGAUUACACCGAAGAUAUACACAAGAAGCUGGAGUAACUCAGCAGAACAGGCGGCAUCUCUGGAGAGAACGCAUGGCAUGUGAGGCUGGGAAAGCACAUCUUGGACCCGCAGACCCUCAGCAUAGGAGUACCGCAAGGCUGCGUACUCUCCCCUCUCCUCUACUCUCUCUACACCAAUGACUGCACCUCCACAGUCUCCUCUGUCAAGCUUCUCAAGUUUGUGGACAACCCUGAUUUGACUGAUCUAGGAUGUGGAGGAAUCUGCCUACAGAUACGAUGUGGCACAGCUGGCGUCCUGGAGCCAUCGCAACAACCUGGAGCUCAAUACUCUUAAGACAGUAGAAUUGAUUGUAGACUUUAGGAGAACUCCCCCUCCCCUCACCCCACUCACCAUCAACAAUACCACAGUCACAUCUGUGGCGUCUUUUAAGUUCCUGGGAACCAUCAUCUCCAAGGAACUUAAAUGGGGGUCUACCAUCAACUCCACAGUAAAAAAGGCACAACAGAGGAUGUACUUCCUGCGGCAGCUGAGGAAGCACAAUCUGCCACAGGCAAUGAUGGUCCAAUUCUACACGGCCACCAUAGAGUCUGUCCUCACCUUCUCCAUCAUGGUCUGGUUUGGCUCAGCCAUCAAGUACGACAUCUGGAGGCUGCAGCGAAUCGUCCGACCAGCUGAGAAGGUUAUUGGCUGCAACCUUCCCUCCAUUGAUGAACUAUACACUGCAAGGGCCAGUAAGCGAGCGGGUAAGAUCAUCUCUGACCCCUCUCACCCUGGCAACAAACUCUUUGAAUCACUUCCCUCUGGAAGGCGACUCCGGACUGUCAAAGCUGCCACAGCCAGACAUAAAAAUUGCUUUUUUUCCAAGAGUAGUAGCUCUACUCUACUAGUAGUAGCUCUACUCAAUAACCAAAAAUCUGUAUCCUUCUUUUGUUCUGGUAUUUUAUUUAAUUCACAUGUUUAAUCAAUAAUGCUUUAUUGUUAAUGUUUAAUGUUUUAUGUGUACAAUUCCUAACUGUCAAUGUAUGUCAUGUUGUCACUUGCGGGUGGAGCACCAACGCAAAUUCCUUGUAUCUGAAUACUUGGCCAAUAAACCUAUUCAUUCAUUCAUUCAUUCUUUCAUGAUUUUAUAUGCCUCUAUAAGAUCAAUCCUCAGUCUCUUCUUCUCGAAGUCCUAGCCUGUCCAACCUCUCCCGUUAAAUUAGGCCCUUGAAUCUUGGCAACAUCCUUGUAAAUCUUCUCUGCAUUUUUCCAACUUAAUGGCAUCUUUCCUGUAGCCAGGUGACCAAAUCUAAACUCAAUAUUCCAAGUAUUGCCUCACCAUUGUUUAGUAAAGUGUAAGAUAACAUCCCAAACUCUAUACUCAGUUCCCUGACUGAUGAAGGCCAAUGUGCCUACAGGCUUAUUCCUACUACUAUACCUACCUGCGAUGCCACUUAAAGGGAAUUGUAUUCUGGUGCUCUGAGAUCCCUUUGCUCUAUAACAAUCUAUAGUGCCUUAUCAUUCACUGUGAGGGCCCUGUCCUUGCAUCAUGUCCCAAAACACAAUAUCUCACGUUCAUCUGAAUGAAAAUCCAUUUGCCAUUCCCCACCUCACUUGCCCAGCUGAUCAAGAUCCUGCUGUAAUUCUUGAUAACCUUCUUCACUAUGCACGAUAUAUUAUAAUUUUGUGCAUCAUCUGCAAACUUACCAAUCAUACCCUGUAUAUUCUCAUCCAAAUCAUUGAUACAGACAACAAACAUUUAUAAGUAGAAUGUGUAAAAAGGAACUGCAGAUGUUGGUAUAUUCCAGAGAUAAACACAAAGUGCUGGAGUACCUCGGCGGGUCAGGCAGCAUCUCUGAAGAAAAAAGUUGAGUGAAGUAGUACAAUCCCAACAAGGUAAUGACUCCAUCUUUGCAUCUCAGCUCCACCCAUGUAAACUCACUGAAUGAUCCUUCAAUAAUGUAAUCUCAGACUACUGCAGUGAUGUUUUCCUUAAUCAAUAAAGCAUUUCCUGUCUGUCAUUGCCCACACCUUUAUUUUUUCUGCAGCACCCGACCCUUGAAAUACUAAGCUGCCAGUCUUAUCCCUCCCUUAGCCAGGUUUCCAUAAUGGCUACAAUGUCCCAUUCACAUGUACUGUACCUUUUGCUUUAGAUUUAUUGUUGUCAGAUGUGUUGAGAUACAAUGAAAAACUCUUUUUUUUUGGGCUAUCUAGUCAGAUAAUACUAAUACUCCAUAGAUACAAUCUAUCAAGCCGAGCUCAAGUACAAUAGGUAGAGCAAAGGAAAAGAUCCAGAGUGCAGAAUGUAACUAUCAGCAUCGUAGCGCAACAGUCCCAAAUACAAAGUCCAAUGUCUGCAAUACUGGUAGCUGCGAAGCGAUCACUACACCGGCUUAAGUAAGGACCUAACCAGGGCCUGAUAACAAAGAGGAAGAAGCUGUCCCUGAGUCCGGUGGUGCACGCUUUCAAACUCAGUACCUA